UGGGGAAUAUUGGACAAUGGGCGCAAGCCUGAUCCAGCCAUGCCGCGUGAGUGAUGAAGGCCCUAGGGUUGUAAAGCUCUUUCACCGGUGAAGAUAAUGACGGUAACCGGAGAAGAAGCCCCGGCUAACUUCGUGCCAGCAGCCGCGGUAAUACGAAGGGGGCUAGCGUUGUUCGGAUUUACUGGGCGUAAAGCGCACGUAGGCGGACUAUUAAGUCAGGGGUGAAAUCCCGGGGCUCAACCCCGGAACUGCCUUGGAUACUGGUAGUCUUGAGUUCGAGAGAGGUGAGUAGAAUUCCGGGUGUAGAGGUGAAAUUCGUAGAUGUGCGGAGGAACACCAGGGGCGAGGGCGGCUCACUGGCUCGAUACUGACGGUGGGGUGCGAAAGCGUGGGGAGCAAACAGG
rnacentral:rRNA from 1 species